rnacentral:tRNA from 1 species
UUAACUAAAGCCAAAUGAGAGGCAUAUCAUUGUUAAUGAUAAAAUUGGGAUUUCCCUAGUUAAA